CACGUGCUACAAUGGCGUAAACAGAGGGAAGCGAGUCCGCGAGGGGAGCGAAUCCCAAAAAUAACGUCCCAGUUCGGAUUGUAGUCUGCAACCCGACUCCACGAAGCUGGAUUCGCUAGUAAUCGCGCAUCAGCCACGGCGCGGUGAAUACGUUCCCGGGCCUUGUACACACCGCCCGUCAAGCCAUGGGAGCCGGGGGUACCUGAAGUGCGUAACCGCGAGGAGCGCCCUAGGGUAAAACUGGUGACUGGGGCUAAGUCGUAACAAGGUAAC
rnacentral:rRNA from 1 species